rnacentral:rRNA from 1 species
GAGUUUGAUCGUGGCUCAGGACGAACGCUGGCGGCGUGCUUAACACAUGCAAGUCGAACGAGAAUCUACUGAAAGAGUUUUCGGACAAUGGAAGUAGAGGAAAGUGGCGGACGGGUGAGUAACGCGUGAGGAACCUGCCUUGAAGAGGGGACGAACAGUUGGAACGACUGCUAAUACCGCAUGAUGCAUAAGGGUCGGCAUGAUUCUUAUGCCAAAGAUUUAUCGCUUCAAGAUGGCCUCGCGUCUGAUUAG